GGGUGCGAUCGUACCAGCACUAAUGCACCAGAUCCCAUCAGAAUUCGCAGUGAAGCGUGCUUGGGCGAGAGUAGUAUUAGGAUGGGUGAUCUCCCGGAAAGUCCUCGUGUUGAACCUU
rnacentral:rRNA from 2 species